rnacentral:rRNA from 1 species
AUAGCGGCAGACGACUGAGUAACACGUAGUCAACCUACCUGUAACACAGAGAUAGCCACGCGAAAGUGUGGGUAAUAUCUGAUAGCCCGUAUAGGUGAAAUUCCGGUACGGUAAAGGCGCAAGCCGGUUAUAGAGGGGACUGCGGCCCAUCAGCUAGUUGGCAGGAUAACAGCCUACCAAGGCAAGGACGGGUAGGGGGCGUGAGAGCGCGACCCCCCAGGAUGGCACUGAGACACGGGCCAUACUCCUACGGGAGGCAGCACUCGGGAAUUUUCCACAAUGGACGAAAGUCUGAUGGAGCGACGCCGCGUGAAGGAUGAAGGUUUUCGGAUCGUAAACUUCUUUUGCCAAGGAAUAGGAAGGAAGGUACUUGGCGAAUAAGGGGCUGCUAACUGCGUGCCAGAAGCAUCGGUGAUACGUGGGCCCCAAGCGUUGUCCGGAUUUAUUGGGCGUAAAGCGUACGUAGGCUGUUAAGCAGAUUUCUUUUCAAAGACCCAGGCUCACCUUGGGGAAGGGGGGAAAUAUCACUUAACUCAGAAAUAGGUAGGGGAGAUCGGAACGCGUGGUGGAGUAGUGAAAUAUGUUGAUAUCACGCGGAACGCCGGUGGUGAAGACUGAUCUCUGGGCCUUAUUUGACGCUCAUGUACGAAAGCUAGGGGAGCGAAACGGAUUAGAUACCCGUGUAGUCCUAGCCCUAAAUGAUGUCCGCUAGGCGUCGGUUUAAGCAUGAUUUUUUCUUCGGAAGAUGUCGUGACAAAUCGGUGUCGAAGCUAACGCGUUAAGCGGACCGCCUGGGUAGUACGGCCGCAAGGUUGAAACUCAAAGGAAUUGGCGGGGACCCGCACAAGCUGUGGAGCGCGUGGUUUAAUCCGACGGUAAUCGUAUAAUCUUACCAAGGUUUGAC